rnacentral:rRNA from 1 species
UACGUAGGGUGCGAGCGUUAAUCGGAAUUACUGGGCGUAAAGCGUGCGCAGGCGGUUCGUUGUGUCGGCGGUGAAAGCCCCGGGCUCAACCUGGGAAUGGCCGUUGAAACUGGCGAACUGGAGUGUGGCAGAGGGGGGUGGAAUUCCGCGUGUAGCAGUGAAAUGCGUAGAGAUGCGGAGGAACCCCGAUGGCGAAGGCAGCCCCCUGGGCUGACACUGACGCUCAGGCACGAAAGCGUGGGGAGCAAACAGG